rnacentral:rRNA from 1 species
UAAGGGAUAUUGCGCAAUGGGCGAAAGCCUGACGCAGCAACGCCGCGUGGAGGACGACGGCCUUCGGGUUGUAAACUCCUUUUGGUGAGGACGAGGAAGGACGGUACUUGCCGAAGAAGUCACGGCUAACCACGUGCCAGCAGCCGCGGUAAAACGUAGGUGGCGAGCGUUAUCCGGAUUUACUGGGCGUAAAGGGUGUGCAGGCGGGUCGUCAAGUGGUGUAUGAAAUCGCCCGGCUCAACCGGGUGGGGUUAUGCCAGACUGGCGACCUAGAGACCGAGAGAGGGGCGUGGAAUUCCGGGUGUAGUGGUGAAAUGCGUAGAGAUCCGGAGGAACCCCAGAGGCGAAGGCGGCGCCCUAGCUCGGUUCUGACGCUCAGACACGAAAGCAUGGGGAGCGAAC